CAGUCGCCGCGGGAAUACGUAGGUGGCAAGCGUUGUCCGGAAUUAUUGGGCGUAAAGGGCUCGCAGGCGGUUUCUUAAGUCUGAUGUGAAAGCCCCCGGCUCAACCGGGGAGGGUCAUUGGAAACUGGGAAACUUGAGUGCAGAAGAGGAGAGUGGAAUUCCACGUGUAGCGGUGAAAUGCGUAGAGGUGUGGAGGAACACCAGUGGCGAAGGCGACUCUCUGGUCUGUAACUGACGCUGAGGAGCGAAAGCGUGGGGAGCGAACAGGAUUAGAUACCCCUGUAGUCCCUGUCUCUUAUAC
rnacentral:rRNA from 1 species